CUCAGUCCCAGCUCACAGCCCUUCGCUCCUCACUGAUGAUCACCAGAAUAGGGCUGUAAUACCAAAUCCACCUGUUGAGAUCAAGCCUGGAGAAUAACGUCACUUUGGAGAGGAGCCCUAAAUGAAUGCAUGCCCUCAUCAAACUCAUGAGGAUUUGAUGACCUGUUUGGUGAUGAGUGUCCUGAACAGAAGCAAUGAAAAAAAGGUGGCUAAUUUUUGGAAACUAUUCCAGCACUGGAGACCCGCAGGGAGGACAGAGGGGAACACAGUAGCCAGCUUCAAACAUGUAAAGGAAGAAAAAGCAUCAGCUGCAUCAAGGAAGAUUUAGGUUUCAGGCAAGCUUUCUAGCAGUAAAAUGGGGAAGCCCUGGAACAGAUUGCCAUGAAGAACAAAGGGGUUCUGAAAUCUGCCAUACAAGACAGCUCUCUGCACACAGAGCUGUUAGCAAUUCAACAUAAAUGUAUUGACAUAGCCCAGCGUAGACACAAGCACUGACAUUUCUUCAGGAAGAUAGGAGUAAGUAACUCAUGUUUGGAAAAAUCAUUUUUGUUCACCAAAAUAGCAGCAGACAGCAGUGUAAGUUACCCAUCUAAAAAAAAAAAAAAAAAAGAAAACACCAAACAUUUUCCCAUUGUGACUGCAGUCCUUAAACUCCGUGGGGAAAAGCAAAUUACUAACUGAGGCAUUUUUGAGAUGUACUGAGACAAGCUGUGGGAGGCAGGGGGAGAAAUCUGUCUUAUCUGAAGUAUGAAUUUUGGCUUGACCACUGUUUCCCAAAUUGAGGUAUGUGAAAUGAUGUUCCAUUAAUUCACUUAACAUCCAUUUCCAGGGUUCACACAGGAGUCAGUUGUGUUUGGAAAGCUCUGAGCAGUUAGUGCUUUUGGUGGUGUCUGCUGCAAGGUUAAACAGCAGUGCAUGGGAACACCUUUGGAAAAGCAUCUGCUGAGUUCAAAACUCUGGAAGGUGAAUCCAUUGGUCUUUCCAAAGAACAGCCUGUAUUUUGCUAUAGAAAAUCUUCUGUCAAAUAUUUUUUUCCCUCUUUCCUAAAGGAUGGGAUAGUUGCAUUUAUCUGCUCACCCACAGGCAUCUCUUAGUGUUUGAUAGCACGUGCUACCUGAGUUUAGAGUGUCUGAAUUUGCCAAAAAAGCUUUGGUAAUGCUUCAUGAAGAAUUGCCAUAAAGAAGUCUCCCAAUCACAGUUUCUGCAUGUGGAUUUAUCUGUAGUAGCAUCUGCAACCAAAUCACACACCUGGCUGUGGUACAGACCAUGCAGACAUUUCAUCUAAUUAGGUAAACAAUACUUUAGGUUCAUCUUACAUGUUGCGCUUUACACUGCUAAAAUCAGAAAUAGCCAUUUCCUUUUCCAUUAUUUAUUUAGCUAUAUAUAUAUCAUUAAAAAGAAGUGUUUACAUUUCAGAUCCAGACAAUGGUAGAUGUUUGCAUUCAUUCACUUCCUGAUAGUGAGAUAAACAGGAAAAAAGAAACUCAAAAUCAACUUUCAGAUAAGCAACUCAGAUUACUAAAAGUGAUUUUGCGGAGUCCGAACGCAGAACUUAAGUAACCUAAUUGCACCUCUUCAACAUUUUAUUGUAAAAAUCACUUGAAAAAGCAUCAUCUCUGAUUCUUGCAGGUAAAUGUGUGUCUGUAAAACUGCCAGACCUCUUUUUAAUAUAAACUAGUUCAUCAUAAUGCUCGCUGUUUUGCACCAGACAUCAGGUGGGAAAUGAGAAAACAUCCUCGCCAUAUUUGCAACUACACCUCUUUAGCAAAGCAAGGAAAAGCCUCAGGCUAAGCUAAUACUGAAAUGCAACGGAUAGGAUAUACCAUAUUCUCAGCCCAGUAAAGUGAUAUGGCUAAACCAAGACUGUAGCGAUUCAGAAUCAAGUAACUGCGUAACAUGAACUCCAAGGGAACAUUACAUCUCUAGUAGCCCAGAAAACAACCAUGCCUUGUCUAAUGCUUUAGUAUAUCACACAGUUCCAAAACAUUUGACACAAACCUUUGGGAAAUGAGCCACAAACAAAAGCUUCCUUGAGUUCAGUAUUGCAUGAUUUUCUCAGCCGUGUUUAGAAGCUUCACAAAAAGUUCCCAAAACUCUCAAAAUUUUUCAUAAACCAAGUAGAAGCUUGCCACUCAGUGUCUUCAGGAAAAAAAAAAAAUCAUAGCAUGCUAAUUACAGCAUUUUUUUUUUCCUAGUUUGCUCAGCUUUUUAGAUAGAAGUACUGGAGACUGAACUUUUUGGCUCAGACCCAGCAUAGUAUUUCAAGUUUACAGUGCUUAAGUCUUAUCAAGGUAACUCCUGCAUUGCAUGGUAAGUAUGCCUCACGAUAUUAGAAAAGUUUAUUUCUAAGUAAAGGUUAUUUCUUAACAGAAAAAAAAGAGUUUGGUAUUUUGUUUAUCGCACAUGAGUUCCCAAUGCUAAAAAUGCACGUAUUUUCUGGAAGGCAGUCACGCAAAGCUAGCUGAAGGAUAAAAGUGAACUUGAAUAGUCGAUAUGCUUUGGAAUGCUCCAAAGCCUAAGGUCUUGAAGGAAAUCUUUGGUCUAGAAUGUAGGGAAAGUUCCUACAGGUUUUCUUUUCAUAAGAAGUAAAGCCUUGCCACAACAGAGCCUCCAGACAUGCAUGACAUAUAUUUCAGAAUUGUAUUAGUAGGAAAAUUAACUCUCCCAUAAGCCACAAAUAUUUGUAACAACUAACACCCCCGCCAACCCCCCGGCUUCAUUUGCACUACACAUUGCAAAUGAAAGCCCUGCACCAUGGUGAACACACUGAUGAAAAUAAAAAGGCAGCAAUUGAUAUGGGGCUGGGGCACAUGAUACUGGAACUAAAAAUUUGUCUCCAGAGGCUUGUCUUUGAAAGAGGAUAGUCCACUCAAUAAAGCAACUCUUUCUUAUCCUUUUCCCAGCUGGGUUUCUGCCCUUUAAAAGCAAUUCUGUCCAAUAACUGCUCAAAUGUAUUGAAACUGCAGAAAGCCUUCCAAGACUCAUGGAUUCUCACAGCAUUUUUUCCCCCCAUGCCCCCCCCCCCCCCCAAAAAAAAACAACCACAAACAAAAAACAUCAUAACAAUGUAACUAGCCAUGAAAGUAAAUGUAGUAACAGCCCCUCCCCGUAACUGAAAAGAAACCGCCUGGAUAAAACUGCAAGAUGUGAACAAUACUAGCGCUACUUGUAAAAACUUGCAUGCUGAUGCAUCUCCUCACAAAACGGGGAGAAUUUUCUCACUGAAAUUAUUUAGAAAAAAAAGUGGUCCUUUGCAGGGUUCAUUUCUACAUUUCUGCCUUUCAAAAUGGCACCAAAACAUUUUUUUUUUUUUGCAAAAAGAUGCUACCAAAGAACGCAAGCUGUAAAUGCGCUGCUUCAAAAUUUUGAAGAAGGGCUUUAUUGCAACAAAAUUUUAACAAUAGCAGUGGCUUUUAUGACUUCAGUGUUAACCCUGUUAAGAGAUAUUUGGUUUAGACUGCUGGUUCAGGAGAAGUGCCAACAGCCAUUGCAGGUCUGCCACUACCACAGUGCAUUCAGCUAGGAAAGACUGAAGGGAUCCAGAGGAUGGAAUCCUUGUCCAAUCCACAGUUCCAACUGACUUUUAAUUAAAGCACAUACUUAAGAACUAAUCAAUUAAACUACAAGCUUAAGAAUUAAUUCAAUAUAAGGGGACCCUUCAAUUAACUCUAGCUCCAACUACUCAGUUUACUUGCCCACAGACUGCAGAAGUGGCUUUUUUUUUUUCUCCUGAGCUCAUACGUUUCUGACACAUUUCAGGAGUAAUUGCUGAUGCAGUCACACUUAUGCAACUCUGCUGUCUUCAGUAAAGCUGCCUACAUAUCCUUCAUCAGGCAAACUGGCUGGAUGCUAUUGAUGCUGAAGCCAGAGCAAAACAUAACCCUCGUUUGAGUUACCUGUGCAGUGAUGAUGGUGAUAAGAAAUGCAAAUCUUCACAAAAGCUAGUAGAUGCCCCUUGAUAAAAAUAUUUUAAAACAUGUUACCAAUUUUACCCAGUUUUAUAACACCAAAAGCAUAAUAUUAACGGUGUAUAUAUAUAUAUAUAUAUUUAAUAUCUGAAACUUGUGAAAAGUACUCCUACACUAUUGUACAGAAAGUAAUGUGUGCCCUUUACACACUUUGGAAUGUAAAUCUGGAGAGGAAUUAACAGAUAACUUGUUUCAAAAUGUUCAGCCAUCAGAAAGGAGCAUAAUAUAAUAUUUAUUUGCAGUCUCCAUUACAUCCAAUCCAGUGUUUACGCACUUCUCACACAGAAAGUACCAGAAGUGCUUUCCGUAUGUACUCUGCCACAAUAUAUAAGAUUUUAAAUUGUAUUUAUCUAAAGCAUUUGAUCAAUACUGGCUAUCACUACACAACUAUUUGCUCAAUUCUCUGGCCCCAGAAAUAGGAGAAGCACUGAAUGGCCAGCUGUGGAGUCAUCAAAAGCUUCAAUUCAAGAACCAGAAAAUCCUAAGAAACAACCAUGGAAAGAGGAGUGUUGUCUGUAGCAUCUUUAUUUCUUCCAUAAAAGAGGAAGGACUACAUCAUCUAAGCAGAGAACUUCCAAAUUCUAUUAAGCAAGAUGGUUCACACCAUAUCCACAUUUUUUUGGGGGUGGGCAAAUAAAUGGCCUUACCCCAAGCAGCAACCGUAGAGACAAGCUGUUCAAAACCGGUCACAUUUUGCACUCCUUCAGAAACCAAAAGAAAGGGGGAAAGCAAAGUAAAAUCCCAACUUACUCAUGUGCUACGGUGGAAGUACAAAAAUGUCAAUUAUUUAAACACAGUACUUCUCCAGAGGAACGUGCUUGCAGAAAGAAAAGCAAUGCCUGUGCAGUAAGUAUCUUUUCAAUGUCACUUUAAAAGCUAUACAAUCCUAUCUGGGUAUGCAAAAGCUAAUAAUGCCAGAGGAUAGAGAAAGCAGGUAGGCAGCCCACCGUUCUGUGGUAUUAAAAAGUGAUUAAAUGAAAUUCACAAACCAUUUAGUGACAUUUCUGAUAGACUAAUCACAUAGCAGUGCUCUAAAUAGAGAAACAGACCCAUUAUCAAAAUAUUCCCUUUAAAAAACUUGUAUCUCAGAGGAGUACUUAAUGUAUUUAUUGUGUGGAGAUAAUGGCUUCUCACUUUAGAUUUACAAGAACAUGGAUGAACAGAGGGCUUCUCCCAUCCAUAUGCACAAGCAAGAACGAGUACAAACCCCAUUUUUUGCUUUAAGUCUCCAUGUUUUGGAACAAAGGAAAACUAACUGUUGAUACAGUUUAUGAGCCCAUCUCAAAAUCAGCCUGUACUUUAAAAAAAGAAUUAUCUUCUGUUAAAUGGCAGAGUGUUCAGCUACAGACACCAACCAUUCACUUGAAGCAAAACUUAAUUAUUUUCUGAGAGAUUGGUUAAAAUUGGCCAAGAAAAUCAGUGCUGAAAGCUCAAAUAUGUUACCGAAGCUAUAUACAGCAGGAUGCAUCGCUUCUCAGUAUUAACUGUAAGUUCAGUUUCCCCACUCUUCAACCCACCCCUGCAGAAGCAGGGUUGUUUCUCAUUGUGGCUACUGCAUUAUCAAUACUUUUUAUGGAGACAAUACAGUACUAAUCAAUACAACCACUUUGCUCAUUUUUUAAAUUCAGGAAGUUGCCUUCUCCGUGGCUGGUGCUGUAUUUCAGACAGCCACACUGAUAAAAACAUCCUGAUAUGACAGAUGCCCCCUCCUGCCCCUCCCCCC